rnacentral:tRNA from 1 species
AGUCUUGUAGUGAACCCACGUAGGAUUGCAAAUCCUAAAAAGUAGAAUAAUACCUACCGGGACUU